GAGAGAUGGCAGAGUGGUCGAUUGCAACGGUCUUGAAAACCGUCGUACCGAGGGGUACCGGGGGUUCGAAUCCCUCUCUCUCC
rnacentral:tRNA from 2 species